GACGAACGCUGGCGGCGUGCUUAACACAUGCAAGUCGAGCGAGAAAGGUCCUUCGGGACUGAGUACAGCGGCGAACGGGUGAGUAACACGUGGGUAACCUGCCCCGGUGACCGGGAUAACGUCUCGAAAGGGACGCUAAUACCGGAUAACGUGCGGUCUGCUAAGUGGGCCGCACCAAAAGGUAGCUUCGGCCUCCGCUCCGGGAUGGGCCCGCGCAGCAUUAGCUUGUUGGUGGGGUAAUGGCCUACCAAGGCUGCGAUGCUUAGCUGGUCUGAGAGGACGAUCAGCCACACUGGGACUGAGAUACGGCCCAGACUCCUACGGGAGGCUG
rnacentral:rRNA from 1 species